GAUGGGAUAGCUAGCGGAUAGCACCUCGACCGUCAGCCCGUGUAGUCCACCUGCUCAGUGCUCACUCUCGAGCUAGUCUCGAACACGGCCGCACCCAAGUCAGGGUGCCGCUGGGGCCUGUCGCCAGCGUUCCAAGCAGCUGUGUUUGCGCGAGAGCGCGGCGCCAUGGACGGCCAGAGAAAGAAGCCCCACGGCAACCCGAACAUCCGGAGGGGCAGCAUCAUCAAAGAGAUCGUCAAAGACUUGAUCGGAGGGGGCACCAAGAACCCUGGUGGUGAUGGUGGUGACGGCGGCAACGUCGGCGACAGCAACGGCAAGAGGGGCAGUGGAGAUUCUGCCGGCGCCGCCGCCGACGCUUCUGGCUGACCGCAUGAUGGAUGUGCAUGGGAUGGUGGUGGUAAUAUGGAGUGGUUGAUCGGUGAUCGAGGGGUUCGUGUGCCUGGUUCUGUAACUUUGUGUGUGUUGUGCAAUAAUUCUUGAUUGGCUGACAGGGACGCACUCUGCUGGAUCUAUGAAUGAAUGCUCACUUUGUGUUGCAC